CUAAAUACAUGUGGUAUUCCCAGCUAACAAUCUGUUGUUAGAAACUACGAAAUAAUAUAUGGCUAUCAACAGAGGCAAUACUUACAAAGCCGAGUUCGUGAACUUUGGCGGUUGCGGUGAUCCUAAACGCUUUAGAUGCGCAUGUAAUACAUCAAAACAAAAGAAAGCCAUCUCCUUGUUGACUAUUCUAUUCGUAUGUUGGCUACGAGUGGCAUUUCGUCCCUGCCAACAACUCAUCGUCAAAAAACAACCACUGUCUUGCAAUGGUUUCUUGGCUUGGGUUAACUUUGCACUUGAGCCGGAAGUAAUUGUGACUGACCGCCCGAAGUACCUGUCGGGAAAUGUUUACAUCGGAAGUGAAUGGCAACGUGUAUUUCCAAGCAACAGAAGAAAAAUAUAAAAGGCGGACAAAGACGACGGACGCAGUAGAAGACGGGCGGUGAAUAGCCUGCGAUGCAGAUCCGUCUGCUGAGUUUGGCUGUGGUUUGGCUAUGUAUUUCGGAUACCGCCUCCUUUAAAAUAACAGCUAAAAAUAAAUUACAGAUUACUUAUGUAUUAAACAAACAGCGUAUUAGCCACAUCAAAAACAUUCUAGACUUUUAUCCUGGCCAAAACAAUUAAAACAUGUUUUCCAGCGUUUCAGGAUUAAUAGUUG